UCCGGGGGCAGGAGGUUCGACUCGAGCGAAGCGAGAGAACGUUGCGUCAGCAACGGCCCGCAGGGCGAGUCACGCAGUGGCGAGUCAUCCUCUAUCACCGACCA
rnacentral:sRNA from 1 species